rnacentral:lncRNA from 1 species
UUUAUUUUAUCUUAUUUUUUAACUUAUUCUUAUAUAAUAUAUCCACACUGCAGCCUCACCUCCCUCCAUUCCUCCCAGUGUGUUCCCACCUCUCCUCUGCCACAGAUCCAUGCCUAAUGUUUGGGUGUGGGUCUCUGCAUCUCUUCCUAAGAAUUAAUAGCUACUUAUAAUUUGAGUACGUACCAUGGUUUUCUUUCUAGGUCUGGGUUACCUCACUCAGGAUGAAUUUUUUUCUAGUUCCAUCCAUUUGCCUUUAAAUUUUAUGAUGUUAUUUUUUAAACAGCUAAGUAAUGAUUCAUUGGGUGUGUGUACUUCAUUUACUUCAUCCAUUCUUCUGCUGAGGGACAUCUAGGUUGCUUCAGUUUUUGACUAUUAAGAAUAAAGCUGCUAUGAACAUAGUUAUGCAAUUGUCCUCAUGGUAGGUUGGACCAUCCUUUAUGUAUAUGCCCAAGAGUAUAUAAGCUAGGUCUUGAGGUACAUCAAUUACCAAUUUUGUGAGAAACCACCUUAUUGAUUUCCAUAGUGACUGCAAGUUUACAUUCCAACAGCAGUGGAGGAGUGUUCCCCUUCCUCCACAUCCUUGCCAGCGUAAGUUGUCACUUUUGUUUUUAACCUUACGCAUUCUGACAGGUGUAAAAUGGAAUCUCAAAGUGGUUUUGGUUUGCAUUCCCCUGAUGGCUAAGGACAUCAGGGUUACACACACUGACAAAAGGUUAACACAUUUGUUUCUCAGCCAUCUGAGAUUUCUCUGUUGAGAAUUCUGAGUCUAGAUAUGUACUCCAUUUUAAAAUUAGAUUUUUUUGGUUUGUUGAUGUCUAGUUUCUUGAGUUCCUUAUAUAUUUUGGAUAUUAGCCCUCUAUCACAGGUGCAAUUGGUGAAAAUCUUUUCCCAACCUGUAGGCUAUCAUUUUGUCUUAUUGACAGUGUCAUUUGCCUUACAAAAGCUUUCAGUUUCAUGAAGUCACGUUUAUUAAUUGUAGAGAGUAGUGCCUAAUCUAUCAGUGUUCUGUUCAGAAAGUCAUCUCAUGUACCAAUGUGUUUAAGGCUAUACCUCUCUUUCUCUUCAAUCAGGUUCAGUGUAUAUGAUUUUAUGUUGAGAGUUUUGGUGUACUUGGACGUGAGCUUUGUGGAGUAUUAUAGACAUGAGUCUAUUUGCAUUCUUCUACAUUUAGACAUCCAAUUAGACCAGCACCAUUUUUGAAGAUGCUUUCUUUUUCCAUUAUGUAGUUUUUGGUUUUGGUUUUGUUUUUAAAUAAAAAAAAUCAGGUGUGUAUAGGUGUGUGGGCUUAUGUCUGGGAUCUUCUAGUCAAUUCAGUUGACCAAUGGUCUGUUUCUAUGCAACUAACAUUUUUUAAAUUAUUACAGCUAUGUAGCACAGCUUGAAAUUAAGAAUGGUGAUACCUCUGGAAGUUCUAUUAUUAUUCCGGAUUGUUUUGUCUAAUCAUGGGUUUUUUUGUUCUUCCAUAUGAAGUUGUGUAUUGUCCUUUCAAGGUCUGUAAAGAAUUGUCUUGGAAUUUUGAUUGGGAUUGCAUUUAAUUUGUAGGUUGUUCUAUCCAUGAAAAAGUGGUUUUUCCAUCUUUUCUUCUUCUGAUAUUUUCUUUAAUUUCUGUCUGCCAAUCCUUGAAGCUUUUAUCAUAUAAAUCCUUUACUUGCUUGGUUAGAGUUACUCCAAGAUAUUUUAUAUUAUUGGAGGCUAUUGUGAAAGGUAUUGUUUCCCUGAUUUCUUUCUUAGUCCAUUUAUCAUUUGUAUAUAGGAAGGCUACUGAGUUUUUGAGUUAAUCUUAUACUCAGCCACUUUCCUAAAGGUUAUCAGCUGUAGGAGUUCUGUGAACGAACAUUUCGGCUUAGUUAUGUGUAUUACAUUAUUUGCAACUAAGGCUACUUUGAUAUUUUCAUUUCUGAUUUGUAUCCCCUUGACCUCUUUUAAUUGUCUUAUUGUUCUAGUUAGAACUCCAAGCACUAUAUUGAACAGAGAAGGAGAGUGUGGGUGGUCUUGAAAAGUUUAAUCCAUGCUGCAGAGAUGACUGAGCAGUGAAUGGCACUUGUUGCUCUUGCAGAGGACCUGGUUUGUGUUACCAACACCCACAUAGAGGCUACAAAUCUGUAAUUCAUUUCCUGAGGGUACAGUACAUCUUGCCUCUGUUGGUACUUUAUGGCUGUGGUGAAUGGAUGCACAUGUAGGUAAAUCACCUGUAUACAUAAAAUCAAAGAAUGAGCUCUGAAGUAAUGAAUGAUAAAUAUAGCAUGCUUUGGAGAAGAUUCGUUGCUUAGAGAGACAGCUACACAUUCACUGAGGAAGUAGAUGGGUAGAGGGUAAGGUUAUCUGUUUUGUUCACUUCCUUCUAGGCAGGCAAAAUCGUGUUUAAAGUUGAAGUAGUGAGGGGUAUGUCUUAAUUUUGGAAAGCAGAAUGUAUAAAUGCCUUGAUGUCUAACAAGCAUGGUGUACUUGUACAAGUAAAAGAUGAUCAUUGUGGGUGAACAUAGAAGAGUCACUUGAAUGAAUUUGUCCUAAGAGUGAUUUAUCAAGCUCUAAGAUGUAGUGUUUGUACUGUUUUUAAAUACCAAGUGUGUGAUUUAAUUGGGUAACAUUUAGAAGAAAACCUACGAUGUUACAGGUACUGUUAGUUUCAGUAAGCUUAUUACUAGGUAUUACUAGGAUGGACAUAUGAAUGAUAAGCACAUAAAGGUAACAUUGUAAUGACAUAAGAAAGAGCUUAGCAUUGCAUUCAAAACGUUUCCCUUGUUUAUUUUGUGUUCAUUACAGAAAUAUUUAUUUAGCACUUUAUUAUCAAUUAGACAGUUUUAAUCAUCAUAGCUAUCAAAUAGAUAGGAGCCCUCUUCAUGUAGGCUUUACCAAAUUUCUGCUAACCCAAAAUUCUCUGUUGAGGUUCAACU